rnacentral:rRNA from 1 species
UCGGGAAUUUUGGGCAAUGGGGGAAAUCCUGACCCAGCAACGCCGCGUGAAGGAUGAAGUAUUUCGGUAUGUAAACUUCGAAAGAAUAGGAAGAAUAAAUGACGGUACUAUUUAUAAGGUCCGGCUAACUACGUGCCAGCAGCCGCGGUAAUACGUAGGGACCAAGCGUUGUUCGGAUUUACUGGGCGUAAAGGGCGCGUAGGCGGCAUGACAAGUCACUUGUGAAAUCUCUGGGCUUAACCCAGAACGGCCAAGUGAUACUGUCGCGCUAGAGUGCAGAAGGGGCAAUCGGAAUUCCACAAGUAGCGGUGAAAUGCGUAGAUAUGUGGAAGAACACCGGUGGCGAAGGCGGUCUACCAGAACACGUUCGACGGUGAGGGAUGAAAGCUGGGGGAGCAAACCGGAUUAGAUACCCGCGUAGUCCCUGAGCGGGCUGGCAAGGCGCAU